rnacentral:lncRNA from 1 species
UAGCCAGUACUUCGGUACUGGCAUGAAAAUACAGAUUUUUUGUGUUAUUAAAAUUUGCUGUUACAAAAUAUUAGAAAUUAAUAUAAAUUAAGGAAUGUAUCUCCCUCAUGCAAAGCUCUGAUUCCUUUCACGGAUUUGGCUAUACUUUUUGGACCUUUUGGAUUAUAGCUCUUCAUCUUUUAUAUAAGUUUUGGAUUUCAAAUAUUU